rfam:Prochlorococcus marinus MED4 complete genome.
GGGACCGUAGUUCAACUGGUUAGAGCACCGCCCUGUCACGGCGGAAGUUGCGGGUUCGAAUCCCGUCGGUCCCG